UACGGAGGGUGCAAGCGUUAUCCGGAUUUACUGGGUUUAAAGGGUGCGUAGGCGGGUUUCCAAGUCAGUGGUGAAAGCUCCGAGCUUAACUCGGAAAUUGCCAUUGAUACUGGAAGUCUUGAAUUCAGUUGAGGUCGGCGGAAUGUGUCGUGUAGUAGUGAAAUACUUAGAUAUGACACAGAACACCAAUUGCGAAGGCAGCUGGCUAACCUGACAUUGACGCCUGAGGCACGAAAGCGUGGGGAUCAAACAG
rnacentral:rRNA from 1 species